rnacentral:lncRNA from 8 species
AUGUACUCACAUGUUCUUUUUUUUAUUAAAAAAUAUAUAUUUUUACCCCAAUUUCAUGGUAUCCAAUUGGUAGUCUUGUCUCAUCACUGCAACUCCCGUACGGACUCAGGAGAGGCGAAGGUCGAGAGCCAUGCGUCCCCCGAAACACAACCCAACCCAACCGCACUGCUUCUUGACACAAUGCACAUCCAACCCGGAAGCCAGCCACACCAAUGUGUCGGAGGAAAUACCGUACACCUAGCGACCUGGUCAGCGUGCACUGCACCCGGCUCGCCACAGGAGUCACUAGCGCGCGAUGAGACAAGGAUAUCCCUGCCGGCCAAACCCUCCCUAACCCGGACGACGCUGGACCAAUUGCGUGUCGGCCAUGAGCCUCCUGGGCGCGUUCGGCUGCGACAGAGUCUGGACUCAAACCCAGAAUCUCUGGUGGCACAGCUAGCACUGCGAUGCAGUGCCUUAGACCACUGCGCCACCCAGGAGGCCAGAGUGCACAUUUUCUAUCUGGCCAAUAGCUACUACCAGGAACCUUCAAGGUCAAACAAUUUUACAGGCACAUUUGGCACAGUUCUAUCCUCAUGCCACUGAGGUUUGGGGCUGCAGAAGAAAUCUGUCGCAACCAUGUCGGGCACAGAUGCCCAGCCAACAGCUGCCUGACAGAGAAAAUGGCUGGCCAGGGAUGGAUACCCACCAGAGGAAGCAGCUGACCGGCACAAAGAAGGCAGCAGCAGCUAACUGAGCUCCAUGGGGGCUGGUCGACUAGACGGGGAGUUCUGCACAGUGACGGGAGAAGCUGUAGUGUUGACAUUGUUGAUGUGUGCAAAUUUAAGAACCCAAAAGCUGUGUGUGCGUGUGUGUGUGCGCAUGCAUGUGGUUGUGUGUGUGUGUGUGUGUGUGUGUGUGUGUGUGUGUGUGUGUGUGUGUGUGUGUGUGUGUGUGUGUGUGUGUGUUUGUGUGUUCGUGUGUUCCAGUGACACAAGAGGGUGUUGUUGACAUAAAUACUGGAUUCAAAUCCAAGACACCAACCAAGUUAUUCUGCUGGAGUCUCUGUCUGUGUGCAAUUAUGCAAGGAGGUGUUGUGUUGACAUGAUAGGCCUGUACACAUCCAAAAUAGAACCAAAUGGAUGAUAUUUAAUCUACACCUCCAAAGAGUGUGAACAUGUGUGUGUCCUCAGUCUUUAGGUGUCACUGUCCAAGCAUGAGCACAGACACAAACAGUAUGGCCAUUUCAAGACAAUACAUGGAGGAAGACUCAGAAGAGGAGAAGCCUUUGGGGCUAAAGUGAUUAAAAGUCUACCAAAAUCCUGAAUUGAUUGGCCUAGAUUCCCGGGAGAAUUAGUCAAGUCAAGUUUCAUUCUGGUGACAGCAAUCAUCCAGCACAAUAAACUCAACUGGGACAGCCCAAGUGAAAUCAAUAGCUUCAUUAUUAACUGCAUUACUCAAUCCAAUAAUAUCACAGACUCCUCUCUGGUCUUUCUCCCUCUCUCUGCCCGACACACCUGAAGAUAUAUUUUACUGAUUUCAAGAUGGUGAAAUUUAGAAGAUAUGUAUUAUAAUUAAUGGAAAACGUGUUGUAGGGUUUGAUACAUUUUUCGUUAGGGCAAAUCAAGUCUGACAUUUUAAAGUGGAAAUUACAAAAUUUAGAAGCAUUUUUAAACCUUGAAUAUACUACAAGUUUGCAUUUCCUGAUAUGCAGGAAAAAAAGAGUGAUCAAAUUAAGAGCCUACAUCUGUACAUCCAACUGGAGCCCCUGCUAACCCACUACACAAGAGGGGAGAUAUUAUAUUUUUUAUCAUUAGCAGCUCAAUGACUUUUCCCUCCUUGAGAAGCCCGGUGCUACACAGUUGAAGAGAAAGGGAAAGUAAUGUAAGAAUUACAUUUUGUGCCAUAAUUCUGUUACCAAACUUUGGAUCUGUACUGUUCUUCAAGUAAAUAUGAAAUUAUUAAAUGUCAUCCUUGUGCAUUGUAUGGUUUGUUAAAUUUGCAAUCAUCGGUUUUUGUUUGACAUACAUUUUAAAGUGAAAAAUCUGAGUCUCAGCAUCAUUCUGUUACUGUGGAAAUUGCUCAGUGUUAUCAUCUUGACAAGACACUACAUGUGACCUUCCUUGCCCUGCUCUGUCAGGGAAAGAGAUAAUUAUUAUCCUAAUGAAUUCGGCAGCAGAUGUCAUUAAUCUUACACUUGGACUCCAAAC